GUUGUUUCUGAGUUAUAUUAUUAAUAUCCUUCUUGCUUUGGCAUCCAAUUAAUAUAUUACACUGAGAACACCACUGGAUUCAGUUUAGAAUUUAGACAUUAAUUUAAAACAUUGAUUUUUCCAGUAACAACACAAUUUGAACUAAGGAGCAGGAAGUAUACUUAAAAAUUGACUGAUAUUUUCUGAAGAGAUUUGGAAAAAAGCUUAUUAGCAAUAGUCAGUGUUCAAGUAUUACCUGCAAGUACUUAUUCCUGCCACUGGGAAUACCCAAGUUCCUCUAAAUCAGUUGUACAGACUUUUCCUAGAGAUUUUCAUUGUUUUCAUAUUGCUGAAAUGGAGAAAAUUAACUUAGGGAAAACCAAAGCUGUGAAGGAAACUAAGUAUUGGAGACCUGGUUAUGUCUUGCUGAAUCAGAAGAGAAUUUGAAGUAAUAAGUCCACUGGAUAACAGCAGCAUGCAUAAGAUGGAGAUCAACAGGAGGGGGCCUAUUCCGCAUAGGCUUUUGUGUGAAGUAGAAGAGGACUCUUUUCACCUUUUCGGGAAAAUGCGGCUGCUAUGCACAAAAUAUGAAAGGCUGAGUGACAGAGGAAGAGCAUGAGUCCCUGGUCUAGUGAAUUUCAGAACCACAGCUCAGUGUGAAGAUUUGGAGAAUUUCACUAUGCCUUCAACAAAGUGAACAGGAUGUGACCUAAUCUUCCAG
rnacentral:lncRNA from 1 species